UCGAGGAUCUUCGGCAAUGGGCGCAAGCCUGACCGAGCGACGCCGCGUGGGCGAUGAAGGCCUUCGGGUUGUAAAGCCCUGUCGAGGGGGAGAAAGUGGAAACUUGAUCUAUCCCUGGAGGAAGCACGGGCUAAGUUCGUGCCAGCAGCCGCGGUAAGACGAACCGUGCGAACGUUGUUCGGAAUCACUGGGCUUAAAGGGCGCGUAGGCGGGCCGCCAAGUCCGCGGUGAAAUCCCCCGGCUCAACCGGGGAACUGCCGCGGAUACUGGAGGUCUCGAGGGGGGUAGGGGCAUGCGGAACUGCGGGUGGAGCGGUGAAAUGCGUUGAUAUCCGCAGGAACUCCGGUGGCGAAGGCGGCGUGCUGGACCCCUUCUGACGCUGAGGCGCGAAAGCCAGGGGAGCGAACGG
rnacentral:rRNA from 1 species